CGCCCAUCUCCGCCUCCUCUCUCACGUCCUCCCUGCCGCCAUGGCCUAGACCACCCUCGUCAUCGACCUCCCCAAGCCCCCUCUCUCUCUCUCUCUCGGGGGUGCUGCUGGUCGCAAUCUGGACGAAGAAAAGGAGACCCCGGAAGAAGUUAGAGCGUCCUGGUGGUGGCUAGAUCGAUGCGGCCGACGGCGAGUGCCGGUGAGCGACGGGGAGGCCCCUACCUCUCUGCAUCUUCUCCCAGGUUCCCGAUCUGGAGCGGGUGGGACGGACGCCGGCGAGGCCAGCCCCCCCCUCACACGCAGCUGGAGCAUACUUGGUACAUGAGCCUUGCCGUGAGUGGUGGUGCAACGGUGACCUUGACGAGCAGGGCAAUGGCCAGACACGAGUAAGACACCAAAGAUGACUGGAAGCACUCAAAAAAGUUUACCACGCUGGAGCUAUGUCAGGUUGUACGAGGGCAGUUAAUGAAUAUACUUGCGACCCUUUUACUCUCAGGUAAAUCACUAAUUAUUACAUGAUCUUUCAUAGUUGAAGUACCUACCAAAGGUAGUUAUUUUAUCCUUCUAACACGAGCAAUGAACAUUUUUUGCCAUUAAUUAUGGUCACAUUAUUGCUUCUUGGUUAAAAAAAUUCAGUAGAGGGUUGUAGCUAUUUGGAGUGCAGAAUUAUUAAGUACAGAGCAAGGAUUCCAAUUGGUCAUACAUGAAGUGAUACUCUUGCAAGAGCUAUGCAAUUAAAGUUCAUUUAAUUACAGUUUCACCACACUAUGAAAAGGGUACAACCUACCAAUCUUGAGAGCAUUAAUGUAACAACUUUUUGUAGCUUAGAAAUCCAAUGGAAACUAAUAAGGUAAAUAUGCUUCUUUCUUGCAGACUUGCAGUUCUGUUUUAUUCAUUACCCUACUGCAAGCUCUUGGUCGUAUACUGUAUAUAAGUAAAUUGUCUUUGCUUCUUGGUCCAAGGGACAAAAUUGCUGAAUGAUUUUGGCAUCUCCUGAUUUUCCUUCUCCAUGGUUUGCCAUGUUCUGUGGUCUGAAUUUAGUUUCUUUUUCUUUGUCUAAAUUCUGUGCAAAUUCAUGGAACCCACACUGUUUGCAAGUUCGGUUUGCCUUUUUCCUUUAAAGAUUUGUACUGCUCUAUUUUUUUUUAAUUGUUGAGGCAACAAAAUACCCCUUAUGUCAUGUAUGCUUCUUUGAUAGCAGUUUAUUAAGUGCUUAUACCAUAAUAUCUCUGAUAUAAGUACUCUAAUUAUAAUAGUAGCAAUCUAAAUUUAUUAUUGGCUUGAAAAUAAAAUAUUUGUGAGGAUAGAAAGGAAAUAUCAGCUUCACUCUGCAUUUCUUAUAGAUGUACCUAGGAGAAAUGCAGAAUUAAGAAGAGCUAUUUUCAGAACACCACUAUCUAUAUCUCUAUAUAUAUGCGGAACUCAAAACUCUUUUUGAAGAUGGAUGGAUGAACUUGAUCCCUGUCCAUCUCUGCUUUUUGUCGGUACAUGAUUGUGCACCUCCUAUGCCUACUUAAUUGUGUGUUCAUUUUGUUAAUCAAGAAGCAUAUGAUUUUAUGGCUGGGUACGUUGAAAAUAUAUAAAACCUUUCUUCUUUUGGAUAAUCUGUUUCCCUUUCGCUAAUCUUUGUUACUUGCCUACACAUCUAUGCAUACUAUUCACUACUGCUACCAAUCCCAUGCUUGUUUGUUCAGAUACUUGAAUGGUGGAACAUGGCUUUUGUUCGAUGGCGAUUUUCCAUUCUUUGUAUGUGUUGCAUUCUUUUGUCCAAAAGUAGAGAUGUACUUUCUUCAAGAAGAAAAUGCUAAGUCUUUUACUAGCAAAGAUGUCGAUCUUGCACAUUUAGCUCUCUACGCACAGUCUCACUAUCAUCUUGUGUAGUUUAUUUAUAGGGGUUGAAUACAGAAUUUUAGCCCUCCUAUUUUAGAGUAUGAAUCGGAAUCUAAAUCAGCAAUUGUAAAAAUGAUCAGUAAUUGUGCUUACUUUUCAGACUCUCCUCCUUUUCUCGCUGCUGAACCCCUGCCAUCAUCAUGUCCACUCCGCGCCCGCCCCGUGCUCGACGUGCACAUCCUGAGCCCCGCGCCCCCUUGGCUCUCUCCUCUCCCUCCUUGUCGCCAACCCUAAACAUUUUCCCUCUCCACCCUACAGCCGCCUCCCCUAGCUCCUCGUCCCCUUCACUCAGUCCAUCCCUCAUCAUCUCGGAUCCAGCGGAUCUGAGGCGUGCGGGUGCGGAGGCGAGUUUCUCCGGCGGCGGCGGCGGCGGUCACCUGCAGGCAAAGGGCGGUGGCCGCACUCGAUUUGAUCUGCAGGAAAGAUAGAACAUGAGGAGAGAGAAGGAAGGAAAGGUGGAACGCCACCAUGGGCGAGGAGGGGCAACAUGGUCUUCGUGGUGGGAAUGGAGGAGCAGAGGAGGAUGGAGGUGGGUGGUGGGAGCAGAGUAGCAGGAGUUCCAGGUCCAGGCGACGCUCGUGGAGUGGAGAAGCUCGUCGUCCAGCAUCACCAUCCCCAAUCUAGAUCUGAGAUAGAAAAGAAGAGAAAUAAUCUUGUGGAAUUUCUUAUCUGAGAUAGAAAAGAAGAGAAAGAUCUUGUGGAAGAGCUUGACGAAAAAGAAAGGGAUCUGAGAUAGAAAAGAAGAGAAAUAAUCUUGUGGAAUUUCAUAUCUGAGAAAAGAAGAGAAAGAUUCUUGUGGAAGAGCAGCUUGA